AAGCUAUGUCGGAUCUAGAACAACUGAAAUCCGCAACAAACCAAACAGAAAAAUGCAGAGAUAACCACAAAUUUCAGAGUAGGUGUAUCUUGUUGGGAAAUAGGAAUUUUGCAGUUCCUACACUUUCAUUUGGUCAUUUUGUUAGACACUAGUGCAUUAAAUGUAGAUUGCAUUGCGCUGUUGUGUAUUGAUUCCAACAUCUAAAGAUCUUUUCAAACUGUAUUGUGCUCUCCCAGUGAAUGCUAUGAAGUUAAGAAACGCUCUUACCUGAACCUCUAAUGGUUAGGAUGAAUUCUAAUAUUUUAUUUUGUUAAUUGGUUUCAGUUGAUUAAACUAUUCACUUUUCAUGGA